rnacentral:rRNA from 1 species
GGUAAGGUGAUAUGAACCGUUAUAACCGGCGAUACCCGAAUGGGGAAACCCAGUGUGACUCGUCACACUAUCAUUAACUGAAUCCAUAGGUUAAUGAGGCGAACCGGGGGAACUGAAACAUCUAAGUACCCCGAGGAAAAGAAAUCAACCGAGAUUCCCCCAGUAGCGGCGAGCGAACGGGGAGGAGCCCAGAGCCUGAAUCAGCAUGUGUGUUAGUGGAAGCGUCUGGAAAGGCGCGCGAUACAGGGUGACAGCCCCGUACACAAAAGCGCAUGUGCUGUGAGCUCGAUGAGUAGGGCGGGACACGUGGUAUCCUGUCUGAAUAUGGGGGGACCAUCCUCCAAGGCUAAAUACUCCUGACUGACCGAUAGUGAACCAGUACCGUGAGGGAAAGGCGAAAAGAACCCCGGCGAGGGGAGUGAAAAAGAACCUGAAACCGUGUACGUACAAGCAGUGGGAGCACCCUUUGGGUGUGACUGCGUACCUUUUGUAUAAUGGGUCAGCGACUUAUAUUCUGUAGCAAGGUUAACCGAAUAGGGGAGCCGGAGGGAAACCGAGUCUUAACCGGGCGUUAAGUUGCAGGGUAUAGACCCGAAACCCGGUGAUCUAGCCAUGGGCAGGUUGAAGGUUGGGUAACACUAACUGGAGGACCGAACCGACUAAUGUUGAAAAAUUAGCGGAUGACCUGUGGCUGGGGGUGAAAGGCCAAUCAAACCGGGAGAUAGCUGGUUCUCCCCGAAAGCUAUUUAGGUAGCGCCUCGUGAAUUCAUCUCCGGGGGUAGAGCACUGUUUCGGCUAGGGGGCCAUCCCGGCUUACCAACCCGAUGCAAACUGCGAAUACCGGAGAAUGUUAUCACGGGAGACACACGGCGGGUGCUAACGUCCGUCGUGAAGAGGGAAACAACCCAGACCGCCAGCUAAGGUCCCAAAGUCAUGGUUAAGUGGGAAACGAUGUGGGAAGGCCCAGACAGCCAGGAUGUUGGCUUAGAAGCAGCCAUCAUUUAAAGAAAGCGUAAUAGCUCACUGGUCGAGUCGGCCUGCGCGGAAGAUGUAACGGGGCUAAACCAUGCACCGAAGCUGCGGCAGCGACACUGUGUGUUGUUGGGUAGGGGAGCGUUCUGUAAGCCUGUGAAGGUGUGUCGUGAGGCAUGCUGGAGGUAUCAGAAGUGCGAAUGCUGACAUAAGUAACGAUAAAGCGGGUGAAAAGCCCGCUCGCCGGAAGACCAAGGGUUCCUGUCCAACGUUAAUCGGGGCAGGGUGAGUCGACCCCUAAGGCGAGGCCGAAAGGCGUAGUCGAUGGGAAACGGGUUAAUAUUCCCGUACUUGGUGUUACUGCGAAGGGGGGACGGAGAAGGCUAUGUUGGCCGGGCGACGGUUGUCCCGGUUUAAGCGUGUAGGUGUGUGUUCCAGGUAAAUCCGGUUCACUUUAACACUGAGGCGUGACGACGAGGCACUACGGUGCUGAAGCAACAAAUGCCCUGCUUCCAGGAAAAGCCUCUAAGCAUCAGGUAACAUCAAAUCGUACCCCAAACCGACACAGGUGGUCAGGUAGAGAAUACCAAGGCGCUUGAGAGAACUCGGGUGAAGGAACUAGGCAAAAUGGUGCCGUAACUUCGGGAGAAGGCACGCUGACACGUAGGUGAAGUGAUUUACUCAUGGAGCUGAAGUCAGUCGAAGAUACCAGCUGGCUGCAACUGUUUAUUAAAAACACAGCACUGUGCAAACACGAAAGUGGACGUAUACGGUGUGACGCCUGCCCGGUGCCGGAAGGUUAAUUGAUGGGGUCAGCGCAAGCGAAGCUCCUGAUCGAAGCCCCGGUAAACGGCGGCCGUAACUAUAACGGUCCUAAGGUAGCGAAAUUCCUUGUCGGGUAAGUUCCGACCUGCACGAAUGGCGUAAUGAUGGCCAGGCUGUCUCCACCCGAGACUCAGUGAAAUUGAACUCGCUGUGAAGAUGCAGUGUACCCGCGGCAAGACGGAAAGACCCCGUGAACCUUUACUAUAGCUUGACACUGAACAUUGAGCCUUGAUGUGUAGGAUAGGUGGGAGGCUUUGAAGUGUGGACGCCAGUCUGCAUGGAGCCGACCUUGAAAUACCACCCUUUAAUGUUUGAUGUUCUAACGUGGACCCGUUACCCGGGUUGCGGACAGUGUCUGGUGGGUAGUUUGACUGGGGCGGUCUCCUCCUAAAGAGUAACGGAGGAGCACGAAGGUUGGCUAAUCCUGGUCGGACAUCAGGAGGUUAGUGCAAUGGCAUAAGCCAGCUUGACUGCGAGCGUGACGGCGCGAGCAGGUGCGAAAGCAGGUCAUAGUGAUCCGGUGGUUCUGAAUGGAAGGGCCAUCGCUCAACGGAUAAAAGGUACUCCGGGGAUAACAGGCUGAUACCGCCCAAGAGUUCAUAUCGACGGCGGUGUUUGGCACCUCGAUGUCGGCUCAUCACAUCCUGGGGCUGAAGUAGGUCCCAAGGGUAUGGCUGUUCGCCAUUUAAAGUGGUACGCGAGCUGGGUUUAGAACGUCGUGAGACAGUUCGGUCCCUAUCUGCCGUGGGCGCUGGAGAACUGAGGGGGGCUGCUCCUAGUACGAGAGGACCGGAGUGGACGCAUCACUGGUGUUCGGGUUGUCAUGCCAAUGGCACUGCCCGGUAGCUAAAUGCGGAAGAGAUAAGUGCUGAAAGCAUCUAAGCACGAAACUUGCCCCGA